rnacentral:ncRNA from 1 species
GGCCCGGCACUUGCUUGAUCCCCCCAGCGGGUAGCCAACGGCGGCCACCUUCCGCACGACAAAGACGUCGC